GAGCUAAUACCGGAUAAUAUAUUGAACCGCAUGGUUCAAUAGUGAAAGACGGUUUUGCUGUCACUUAUAGAUGGAUCCGCGCCGCAUUAGCUAGUUGGUAAGGUAACGGCUUACCAAGGCAACGAUGCGUAGCCGACCUGAGAGGGUGAUCGGCCACACUGGAACUGAGACACGGUCCAGACUCCUACGGGAGGCAGCAGUAGGGAAUCUUCCGCAAUGGGCGAAAGCCUGACGGAGCAACGCCGCGUGAGUGAUGAAGGUCUUCGGAUCGUAAAACUCUGUUAUUAGGGAAGAACAAAUGUGUAAGUAACUAUGCACGUCUUGACGGUACCUAAUCAGAAAGCCACGGCUAACUACGUGCCAGCAGCCGCGGUAAUACGUAGGUGGCAAGCGUUAUCCGGAAUUAUUGGGCGUAAAGCGCGCGUAGGCGGUUUUUUAAGUCUGAUGUGAAAGCCCACGGCUCAACCGUGGAGGGUCAUUGGAAACUGGAAAACUUGAGUGCAGAAGAGGAAAGUGGAAUUCCAUGUGUAGCGGUGAAAUGCGCAGAGAUAUGGAGGAACACCAGUGGCGAAGGCGACUUUCUGGUCUGUAACUGACGCUGAUGUGCGAAAGCGUGGGGAU
rnacentral:rRNA from 1 species